rnacentral:rRNA from 1 species
UUUGCCAGCAGCCGCGGUUAAACCAGUAAGUUAAGUUAUAUAUCUUGGUAAAAAGACAGUUAGACAAAAAUUAGCUUAUUGAUUUUCUAUACAGAAGUAAAAUUUAAUAUAGAUGUAAUAACAUAAUAAUAGCUUUAAUUGUUGAAUCUGUGACAUCUUUAAGGGAAACUGGGAUUGGAUACCCCAUUAUUUCUAGACGUAAAUAAAGAAAUUUACCAGAGUACUACAAAUAAAAUAAUUUAAAACUCAAAGAGCUUGGCGGUAUUUUAGACCACUUAGGGGAACCUGUCUCAUAAUCGACAAUCCACGUUUAACCUUACCUUUUUUAGUAAUCAGCUUGUAUACCGUUGUCAUCAGGUAACUUUUAAAGAAUAAAGUAGUUAGCUAAAAAAUUUAUUUAAAUUUAGAUGUCAAAUCAAGGUGCAGCCUAUAUAAAGGAGAAGAUGGGUUACAAUUAUAAGUUAUAAUACGGAUAUGAAAACUGAAAAUAUCUUGAAGGAGGACUUAAAAGUAAAUUUAUAUAUGUAUAUAAAUAAUUUGAACAAGGCUCUAAAAUGUGCACACAUCGCCCGCCACUCUAAA